UGGCCUGCAGUCAUAAUUGAUUCAGCAAGGCGAUGCUUUCCAACUGGCCGAGGAGCCUCCUAUGUGACGUGAUAAGAAUCCUUAACGGGCAAGAGGCAUGAGAAUGUCAGCUUCUGACCUAAACGCCUCCCCAUGACGCCUGUUUGGGGCAGGUAGCUCGAGACUGUGACUAACCCUGUUCCUUUAUGAGUGCCAAGUGUCCGCAGGGUGUCUGGCCCUGUGUAGAGAAGAUGGGCAGGCUCACUUGUAAAUAAUGUCUACAGUUGACAACCUACAAAUUAAUAUCUCGAGAUGCAACUUCUCCUUCAAAGUCUAGACUCCUGUAUUCAACCUCCAACAAUGCAACCAUCUCGAGUUCAACAUCUCUUCGACUGAAUUUCUAAUUUGCUAUCAUCCCUUGAAAAUGUGUUCCUUUUGCUACAUCUCAAUAAAUGGCUACUCCCAUUUUUCCAGUU